rnacentral:rRNA from 1 species
AGUCGAACGAGAAUCUGCGGAAAGAGGAUUCGUCCAAUUGAAGCAGAGGACAGUGGCGGACGGGUGAGUUACGCGUGAGGAACCUGCCUUUCAGAGGGGGACAACAGUUGGAAACGACUGCUAAUACCGCAUGACACAUCGGAGUCGCAUGGCUCUGAUGUCAAAGAUUUAUCGCUGAAAGAUGGCCUCGCGUCUGAUUAGCUAGUUGGUGAGGUAACGGCCCACCAAGGCGACGAUCAGUAGCCGGACUGAGAGGUUGAACGGCCACAUUGGGACUGAGAUACGGCCCAGACUCCUACGGGAGGCAGCAGUGGGGAAUAUUGGGCAAUGGGCGCAAGCCUGACCCAGCAACGCCGCGUGAAGGAAGAAGGCUUUCGGGUUGUAAACUUCUUUUGUCAGGGACGAGUAGAAGACGGUACCUGACGAAUAAGCCACGGCUAACUACGUGCCAGCAGCCGCGGUAAUACGUAGGUGGCAAGCGUUGUCCGGAUUUACUGGGUGUAAAGGGCGUGUAGCCGGGAGGGCAAGUCAGAUGUGAAAUCCACGGGCUCAACUCGUGAACUGCAUUUGAAACUACUCUUCUCGAGUAUCGGAGAGGCAAUCGGAAUUCCUAGUGUAGCGGUGAAAUGCGUAGAUAUUAGGAGGAGCACCAGUGGCGAAGGCGGAUUGCUGGACGACAACUGACGGUGAGGCGCGAAAGCGUGGGG